rnacentral:tRNA from 1 species
GCGGACGUGGUGGAACUGGUAGACACGCCAGAUUUAGGUUCUGGUGAUUUGCAUCGUGGGGGUUCGAGUCCCUUCGUCCGCACCA